AAUCAACGCUGGCGGCGUGCCUAACACAUGCAAGUCGAACGAGAAGGUGACUUCGGUCACUGGAUAGUGGCGUCCGGGUGAGUAACACGUAGGUAAUCUACCUUCGGGUGGGGAAUAACGUCUCGAAAGAGACGCUAAUACCGCAUAAUGCAGCGGCACCUAAUGGUGAUUAAUUGUUAAAGCGGGGGAGUCUUCGGACCUCGCGCCUGAAGAGGAGCCUGCGGCAGAUUAGCUAGUUGGUGAGGUAAUGGCUCACCAAGGCUUCGAUCUGUAGCUGGUCUGAGAGGACGGCCAGCCACACUGGCACUGACACACGGGCCAGACUCCUACGGGAGGCAGC
rnacentral:rRNA from 1 species